rnacentral:rRNA from 1 species
AGGUGUGGGCAGUGUAGAAGCCGUCUGUGCCGGAGCAAACACGAUAAGUUCACCGCCUGGGGAGUACGGUCGCAAGGCUAAAACCCAAAGGAAUUGACGGGGGCCCGCACAAGCAGCGGAGCGUGUGGUUUAAUUCGAUGCAACGCGAAGAACCUUACCUGGGCUUGACAUGUACGUAGUAGUGAAGGGAAACCGGAACGAGCCUUCGGGCAGCGUAGACAGGUGCUGCAUGGCUGUCGUCAGCUCGUGUCGUGAGAUGUUGGGUUAAGUCCCGCAACGAGCGCAACCCGUGUUGCUAGUUACAAGUGUCUAGCGAGACUGCCGGUAACAAGCCGGAGGAAGGUGCGGAUGAUGUCAAGUCAGCAUGGCCUAUAUGUCCAGGGCUACACACACGCUACAAUGGCUGGUACAAAGAGAAGCGAAAGGGAGACCUGAAGCGAAUCUCAUCAAAGCCAGUCAUAGUUCGGAUUGCAAGCUGCAACUCGCCUGCAUGAAGUCGGAGUUGCUAGUAACCGCAGGUCAGCAAUACUGCGGUGAAUACGUUCCCGGGCCUUGUACACAC